GACGAACGCUGGCGGCGUGCUUAACACAUGCAAGUCGAACGGCAAGGCCCUGCUUUUGUGGGGUGCUCGAGUGGCGAACGGGUGAGUAACACGUGAGUAACCUGCCCUUGACUUUGGGAUAACUUCAGGAAACUGGGGCUACUACAGGCUAGGAGCUCCUGAUGCAUGGUGGGGGUUGGAAAGUUCCGGCGGUUGGGGAUGGACUCGCGGUUUACCAGCUUGUUGGUGGGGUAGUGGCUUACCCAGGCAUCGACGGGUAGCCGGACUGGGCGGGUGACCGGCGACAUUGGGACCUAGGGACGGCCGAGGCGCGUACGGGAGGCAACAGUGGGAAAUCUUGCACAAUGAGCGGAAGCCGUAUGCAGCAGCCCCGCGGGUUGUAUGACGGCCUUCGUGUGGUAAACCGCGUUCGCCUGAGACCAAGCGUGAGAUGCGGUAAUGGGUAGAGUAGCACCGGCUAACUACGUG
rnacentral:rRNA from 1 species